ACAAAAGCAUCGUCCAAAGGUUCC
rnacentral:siRNA from 1 species